UUUGAUUUAACAUAUAAAAUGUAGUUAAUUGUUAAUUAACUUAAACGGAAAGAAUAGACCGUAAUUAAAA